rnacentral:rRNA from 1 species
CGCACGGGUGAGUAACACGUAUCCAACCUGCCGUCUAUCUUGGACAGCCUUCUGAAAGGAAGAUUAAUACAAGAUGGCAUCAUGAGUUCACAUGUUCACAUGAUUAAAGGUAUUCCGGUAGACGAUGGGGAUGCGUUCCAUUAGAUAGUAGGCGGGGUAACGGCCCACCUAGUCUUCGAUGGAUAGGGGUUCUGAGAGGAAGGUCCCCCACAUUGGAACUGAGACACGGUCCAA